AAAUACACAUUGGAAUGCCACUUAGUGCAGGGCAUGUUGAACACACAGGGCCAGAAGCAGAAUUCUCCCUCAUCUUCAGCUGGUUCUUUGCAUUACUUUCUGUGACCAAGAGUUGUAUCGUUCUGAAUUACACCAGUUAAUGCCCUGUGUUCUUCGCACACUUACUCGACUUCUGUGCAAGAACAUUCAAGAGAAAUAAGAAUUGCUGAAGCACUGUCCCACCUCAUUUACUUAUCUGAUGUCUGUUCUCAUCACUACUCCACAAAAGGAAAUUACUGGUCAUGGGAUUGGAAUACUGCAGGAUAAAAAUACCUUCCCUUAUUUCUGUAGUCACAUGCUUUCUCAUUUCCCUGGCCUGUUGGCUGAAAUGACUUUUUUUAAGGCCAGCCAGCCUAACUUGGUAGCUAUUCUGGAUAAUAGGCACUGUCCUGAAAAAGGAAAGCCAGACCAGGGCUGUACACUGCAGCGUCUCCUCAUUGUAGGAGAAGCAACAUUUCUCAUUGUGAGCCUUCCUUGAUCAAGGCCAUGGGAGAGCCAGCCCCAGAGCAGCCCUGCCAAGAAUCUGCAGAUGAGGAAGCCACUAAAGGUCCUUCAAAACACUGAAGUUCUUCCAGCCCUGGCACUCUUCCUGCUCUGCAUCUUCCAUCCUGAAUGCUUUCCAGAGCUACUGGUUUUCUUCUUUUCCUGUGAAGAGGCAGCAAGCAGAGCUUGUUCCUGUUUUACCUUAGAGUUGAGACAGCAAAUGUCAAGAGACCACUUCUGCUUUGGGAAUGCCUGAGCUACAAGCUGGCAGGAGACACGGGCAGAUCUGAGCACAGCAGCUCCAUAGGCUUGUCCAGGAGUAUGCUUGUCCGCUACCAUCCCCACUCUGUCAUUCUUGGAGACAAAACUUUGGGAUGAAUAAUCCUAUCAUGUGUUCCAGGGAGAAGAGCUGCAACAAACUGCAAACUGAACCAAACUCACCACAGAACUAGAUUUUCUACUUUCAGCCAGGCCAACAGAGUUGGUUCCUUGGAGUGCCACUUAACUAUUUGUUUAUUUGGGGAAGAAUUUAAGAAUGAGGACUCUCCAGGAUUUACUCACACAAAAGUGGCUUUGGGGUUUUCUGAACUGAAAAAGGAAUAUGUCUUGAUUUCUUUAGUCCUCAAAUGAACAGAGCAUUAGAAAGAUAAAGCUAUUCUUUCUAGGCAUUAUUAUAGUUUAUAGCAGCUGUGUGUAGUUAAGUGCUUUUCCAGAGUCUUACUCAUGGCUUGUUUUCUAACAAAAUACUUUCUGAUUCUGAUACCUCCUUUCAGGAUUAAUUAGCACUAUGACAUCUUUCCCUUGUAAGACAGAUGUGUUCCUUCUGAAAUGCAAAGACUAUUCAGUGCAUCUUACCCCAACAAACACAGCACUAGAACUCAUGCCCAGUCAAGGCAUGAGAUGCUGCUUCAUUACAAAUGCACAAACUCAUACUGGGUGACUGAAGAACAUGUAACACUGUCCUAUUUCUUACCCUGUUUUAGCCAACACACUAUGUUUUCAGAACAUCAGUUCUGAUGAAAACCGGGAAUUAAACUGCUCUAAUCCAAAACUACCAUUGCUGGUUGAAUCAGUUCUACAAACCAAAUGCACACCUGAACAAGUCAGAACAAUUUUUGUCUUAUAACCUGUGGAUAAACUGGAGAUUGGCAAAUAUCUUAGAGACAGGUUGGACUAGUCCAAGAGGAAACCCUUACAUUAAGAUUUCUCUGUGAAGACGUCUUCAUGGGCAGUAUGUCUCUAAACCUCCAUGGCAGAGCAGGCUGAACAGGUCAUACAUCUCCACUUAGACUGAGCUGGAACAUUCUCCCAGAUUCUGCUGACAGUUAUCGAUUACACCUCUUGAUUUAAAUGAGAGCUUAUAAGCUUAAUAUAUGUAUUGAGACAUGCAGAAAGACGUUUCAAAUCAGAUGUUUUACUCUGCAGUGAAAUCACCUCCACAGAUGUGGCUGUUUCUCUGGGAAUGUUGACUGGGGGCUUUGACUCAGCAGGGCGUGGUUCACAAAUGCUCUCAUGAUGCUCCUGAAUGGGUGAGCAUGUGCUUCACAGCACUUCAGAUAAAAAUUACAUGUUCAGACCACAUUCUGUCAAAAAUCGUAUUUUGGCUAAAUAGAUACUUUUGGUGUAUCUCCCCCAGACAUUACUUUGCUUAUUUUUCUCACCUUGCCAGUAUUAAUAAAAAAAAAAAAAAAAAGCAAGACAGUUGUUUUGGUUUUUUUUAAUCAAAACAGUAGAGUCUUUGGAAAAGGGACCAGAACUCAUUCCUAGCUGAGGAAUGAGGAUUUUUAACCUGAAGGCUGCAGAGUCUCCUGCAGUGUGCUCUCUCUGGCCUUGUGAAUUUUGGACAGCUUCAAAUGGGGAGAGUGGAACAGCUCGACGUAGUCUAGUCUGACAGCAGGGUACUCUCUGGGAUGACUAGAGGUGUGCUUGCAAACUCCUGCAGAUCUAGACACAAUAUGAACUCAGAUGUCUCAGCUCCUGCAGCACUUCACAUCAUGGUUCCAAAUUGUGGCAUGUGGCACCUCUUUGGAUCACACCCAAAAAGGUGUUUUGACUACUGUGGCUACCACGAUGAGGCACAAACUCUCUACGGGCAUUGGCCAACAACACUGUGCAAGAGAAUAUGGAUUCCACGGUGUAAAUCCACAAGGAGUGCACACUGUGAAUGUGAAUCCAUCCUUGUUUUUCCCAUCUCAAAAAUAAUUCAAUAAAAUUGCAGGCUGCACCCCAGGACAAGACCAAGGUCUCUGUGGCUCGUGCAGGUCAGUGUUGGAAGGCCCUGCUACAGGCUGCUGUGGAAGCUGAAGGUAGUCAAGAGGAGAUGGAGCCAGUAAAUUUCAAGAUACCACUUCUGGCUUGGGGAGUCCCUGAGCCGCAAGCUUGUGGGAAACACGGGCAGAUCUGAGUUAAGUGUCUCCACAGGCUCAUCCAGUACCCACAACCAUCCCCCUUGGUCACUCUUAGACACAUGGUAUUGGGACGGUCCAUCCUGGCUUUUGUUCCACUUUGGCUACUUCUCUGCUGUACCCCCAUGCAAAGUGUUUGUGAGUUCUGACUUGUAGGUAGGUGUGUAAUGCUUUGUGCCUCCAGAUUGGUCAUCAAAGUUAUUCCCUGAGGCCAAAUUCAAGAGAUAUUCUGAUCUGCUCAAUGUGUCACUGUGGCAUGCAAUUGUUUCUUUUUAAUAAGUGAGAUAACAAAAGGUGAGAGUCCAGAUAAGACAAGAAAGGCACAGAAAGAGAAACAGAGAGGAGAUGAAUGGGGAGAGGAGGGGAUGAUAGUGCAAACCUUUUAAGUGGACAAGUUCCUAGGGUAGGAUACAUAAUGUUUUCCCUUCGAGUAGGGCACAUAGGAAACUUUUCUAAAAAUUACAGAAAAUUCCCAUUAUAGUCUCAACCAGUUAUUAAACUUUCUGCUAAAUUUAAAGAAUUAAAAAAAAAUCAAUCAAACAGAACAACAAAACAGCCUCUCUUUGUCUUGUGUCCUUACACUCUGGGGAAGGUAACAGCAUUGGGGAAGCUGCUGAUGCUAGGUGUUGCCUAACGCAGCAAUACUGCAGGAGAAAACAGAUCAGCAAUGUUUAUCUCUGGAAUGACAUCUGCCUUUAGAGAAAAGAAGAACAAAGUCAGAGAUUAAAAGAGGGAUUGAAAAAAAGCAGAUGAAACUUGGGGAAAGUAUUUUAUGGCAGACUAAAUUAAGACCUAUGAAUAUAGAAUCAGAUUACAGAGAAAACCCACACCAGUAGCAGUUCUGAAGUCCUCUAUGAUUGAUUUUUCUGUUUAAGUCACAUACAUGUUUAAAACUAGACAACUAAUUUGCUCUUUUAUAGGUGUGAGCUUGAAAGAAGUACAGUAUAUUUAGCAGUAAUUUACGGGUAUUACUACCUUUGUUCCUCUUCCCCACUUUGCAUAGGUCACCUUGAACAUCCACAGCAUUAUGGAACCUCUCAGUGAGUUGUGGUACUUGACGGGCACAGGCUGUUUUCAAUUGGUUUCUUCCAUGGAAGUUAUGGAUAUGUACCAGCUAUGAACCUGGCUGAGUGCAGCCAGCAGUAAACUAGAUUGGUGAAAGUUCUCCAAGUUUAAAGACAAACUGUUUCAGUUUAGCUUCAGAAGCAACAUUUUAGUA